UACGAAGGGGGCUAGCGUUGCUCGGAAUCACUGGGCGUAAAGGGUGCGUAGGCGGGACUUUAAGUCAGGGGUGAAAUCCUGGAGCUCAACUCCAGAACUGCCUUUGAUACUGUGGAUCUUGAGUUCGGGAGAGGUGAGUGGAACUGCGAGUGUAGAGGUGAAAUUCGUAGAUAUUCGCAAGAACACCAGUGGCGAAGGCGGCUCACUGGCCCGAUACUGACGCUGAGGCACGAAAGCGUGGGGAGCAAACAGG
rnacentral:rRNA from 1 species